rnacentral:rRNA from 1 species
UACGAAGGGUGCAAACGUUGCUCGGAAUUAUUGGGCGUAAAGCGCACGUAGGCGGCUUGGCAAGUCGGAUGUGAAAUCCCUCGGCUCAACCAAGGAAGUGCAUCCGAAACUGCUGAGCUUGAGUUCUUAAGAGGAUCGCGGAAUUCCCGGUGUAGAGGUGAAAUGCGCAGAUAUCAGGAGGAACACCGGUGGCGAAGGCGGGUCUCUGGGGCCGAUACUGACGCUGAGGAGCGAAAGCGUGGGGAGCGAACAGG